AUAUCAAUAAGCGGAGGAAAAGAAACCAACAGGGAUUGCCUCAGUAACGGCGAGUGAAGCGGCAAGAGCUCAAAUUUGAAAUCUGGCCCCCUCGGGGUCCGAGUUGUAAUUUGCAGAGGAUGCUUCGGAUGCGGCCCCCGUCUAAGUGCCCUGGAAUGGGCCGUCGGAGAGGGUGAGAAUCCCGUCUGGGAUGGGGUGCCCGUGUCCGUGUGAAGCUCCUUCGACGAGUCGAGUUGUUUGGGAAUGCAGCUCUAAAUGGGUGGUAAAUUUCAUCUAAAGCUAAAUACUGGCCGGAGACCGAUAGCGCACAAGUAGAGUGAUCGAAAGAUGAAAAGCACUUUGAAAAGAGAGUUAAACAGCACGUGAAAUUGUUGAAAGGGAAGCGCUUGCGACCAGACUCGCCCGCGGGGUUCAGCCGGCAUUCGUGCCGGUGUACUUCCCCGCGGGCGGGCCAGCGUCGGUUUGGGCGGCCGGUCAAAGGCCCCCGGAAUGUAGCGCCCUUCGGGGCACCUUAUAGCCGGGGGUGCAAUGCGGCCAGCCUGGACCGAGGAACGCGCUUCGGCACGGACGCUGGCAUAAUGGUCGUAAACGA
rnacentral:rRNA from 1 species